rnacentral:rRNA from 1 species
UACAGAGGUCUCGAGCGUUGUUCGGAUUCAUUGGGCGUAAAGGGUGCGUAGGUGGCGCUGUAAGUCGGGUGUGAAAUCCUGAGGCUUAACCUCGGAACUGCAUUCGAUACUGCGGCGCUUGAGGACUGGAGAGGAGACUGGAAUUCAUGGUGUAGCAGUGAAAUGCGUAGAGAUCGUGAGGAAGACCAGUGGCGAAGGCGGGUCUCUGGACAGUUCCUGACACUGAGGCACGAAGGCCAGGGGAGCAAACGGG